GAUGAACGCUGGCGGCGUGCCUAAUACAUGCCAGUCGAGCGAACGGACGAGAAGCUUGCUUUUCUGAUGUUAGCGGCGGACGGGUGAGUAACACGUGGAUAACCUACCUAUAAGACUGGGAUAACUUCGGGAAACCGGAGCUAAUACCGGAUAAUAUUUUGAACCGCAUGGUUCAAAAGUGAAAGACGGUCUUGCUGUCACUUAUAGAUGGAUCCGCGCUGCAUUAGCUAGUUGGUAAGGUAACGGCUUACCAAGGCAACGAUGCAUAGCCGACCUGAGAGGGUGAUUGGCCACACUGGAACUGAGACACGGUCCAGACUCCUACGGGAGGCAGCAGUAGGGAAUCUUCCGCAAUGGGCGAAAGCCUGACGGAGCAACGCCGCGUGAGUGAUGAAGGUCUUCGGAUCGUAAAACUCUGUUAUUAGGGAAGAACAUAUGUGUAAGUAACUGUGCACAUCUUGACGGUACCUAAUCAGAAAGCCACGGCUAACUACGUG
rnacentral:rRNA from 1 species